rnacentral:misc_RNA from 1 species
UUCUAGCCCUGAUAGCAGUGAAAAUCCUUAUAUGUCAUUGUUUGGCAUAUAAGAUUGUAAUCUCGUUUUUAGGACGAGAC